rnacentral:rRNA from 1 species
AAUCAACGCUGGCGGCGUGCCUAACACACGCAAGUCGAACGCGAAAAUGGAGCAAUCCAUGAGUAGAGUGGCAAACGGGUGAGUAACACGUGGGUGACCUGCCUUCGAGUGGGGGAUAACGUCCCGAAAGGGACGCUAAUACCGCAUAAUAUGCUGUCUUUUAAGAGAGAGACAUCAAAGCCGGGGACCGCAAGGCCUGGCGCUUGAAGAGGGGCCCGCGCCUGAUUAGCUAGUUGGUGGGGUAAUGGCUCACCAAGGCAACGAUCAGUAUCCGGCCUGAGAGGGCGGACGGACACACUGGGACUGAGACACGGCCCAGACUCCUACGGGAGGCAGCAGUAGGGAAUAUUGGACAAUGGGGGAACCCUGAUCCAGCCAUGCCGCGUGAGGGAAGAAGGUCCUCUGGAUUGUAAACCUCUUUUGGCAGGAAACAAACCUGCGCUAUACGCGCAGCUGAGGGUACCUGCAGAAUAAGCACCGGCUAACUCCGUGCCAGCAG